rnacentral:tRNA from 1 species
AAAUCAAGCUGUUAGAAUCUGUUUCUUCCAAUUCCGAUUCCAAAGGUCGCAGGUUCGAAUCCUGCCGGGUGCGCCA